GCUCCGGUGGUGUAGCCCGGCCAAGCAUUUAGGGCUUUCAACUCAGUAGGAAACCCGGGUUCGAAUCCCGGCCGGAGCA
rnacentral:tRNA from 1 species